rnacentral:rRNA from 1 species
CCUACGGGUGGCAGCAGUGGGGAAUAUUGGGCAAUGGGCGCAAGCCUGACCCAGCCACGCCGCGUGAGGGAAGAAGGCUUUCGGGUUGUAAACUUCUUUUCUCAGGGACGAAGAAAGUUACGGUACCUGAGGAAUAAGCCACCGCUAACUACGUGCCAGCAGCCGCGGUAAUACGUAGGUGGCAAGCGUUAUCCGGAUUUAUUGGGUGUAAGGGGCGUGUAGGCUGGAGCGCAAGUCAGAUGUGAAAUCUCAGGGCUCAACCCUGAGCCUGCAUUUGAAACUGUGUUUCUUGAGUGCUCGAGAGGCAAUCGGAAUUCGGGGUGUAGCGGUGAAAUGCGUAGAUAUACGGAGGAACACCAGUGGCGAAGGCAGAUUGCUGGAGAGUAACUGACGCUGAGGCGCGAAAGCGUGGGGAGCAAACAGGAUUAGAUACCCGUGUAGUC